UAAAUUCCUUGCUGCCCACCCGCGCUCGGAGAAAUAUCGAAGGAAACCCGGGCUCCAGGGACAGGGGCUUUUCUGAAAGGAUGGCUUCCUCCGCUCCCUCGUCCUCCAACGACGCUCCGGACCCCACCCCGACUAAUUUACGACCCACAACCUACGACUCGUGGUGUGGCGUGGCGCACGGGUGCACCAGGAAGAUCGGGCUGAAGAUAUGCGGGUUCCUGCAAAGGACCAACAGUCUGGAAGACAAGGGCCGGAUCGUGAGCUCCCUGAAGGAAAGGCGGUCCUCCAAGAGCCUGCUGGCGUGUGAGAACAGCGAGAAGGAGUCCAGGUUCCGGCGCACCGAGACAGACUUCUCCAAUUUGUAUGCUAGAGAUUUGCUGCCCGCCAAGAACGGCGAGGAGCAGACCAUGCAGUUCCUGCUGGAGGUCGUGGACAUCCUCCUCAACUACGUGAGGAAGACGUUUGACAGGUCCACCAAAGUGCUGGACUUUCACCAUCCGCACCAGCUCCUGGAGGGCAUGGAGGGCUUCAACCUGGAGCUCUCGGACAACCCCGAGUCCCUGGAGCAGAUCCUGGUGGACUGCCGGGACACACUCAAGUACGGGGUGAGGACAGGUCAUCCGCGCUUUUUCAAUCAGCUCUCCACAGGACUGGACAUCAUUGGCUUGGCUGGGGAGUGGUUGACAUCGACUGCUAACACAAACAUGUUUACAUAUGAAAUUGCCCCUGUUUUUGUUCUCAUGGAACAAAUAACACUUCGAAAGAUGAGAGAGAUUAUUGGAUGGUCGAAUAAAGAUGGUGAUGGAAUAUUCUCACCUGGAGGAGCUAUUUCCAACAUGUACAGCAUAAUGGCUGCACGCUACAAAUAUUUCCCUGAAGUCAAAACCAAAGGCAUGGCCGCAGUCCCUAAACUGGUUCUCUUUACCUCAGAACAUAGUCACUACUCAAUAAAGAAAGCUGGAGCUGCACUUGGAUUUGGAACAGACAACGUGAUUUUGAUAAAAUGCAAUGAAAGAGGCAAAAUAAUACCAGCUGAUUUGGAAGCAAAAAUUUUGGAAGCGAAACAAAAGGGAUACAUUCCUCUCUUUGUAAAUGCAACCGCAGGCACAACAGUAUACGGAGCCUUUGAUCCAAUACAGGAGAUUGCAGAUAUAUGUGAAAAAUAUAACCUCUGGCUCCAUGUAGAUGCUGCUUGGGGAGGUGGACUCUUAAUGUCCCGAAAGCAUCGUCAUAAAUUGAAUGGAAUAGAAAGAGCCAAUUCAGUCACUUGGAAUCCACACAAGAUGAUGGGAGUAUUGUUGCAAUGUUCCGCCAUUCUGGUCCGGGAGAAGGGUAUACUUCAAGGCUGCAAUCAGAUGUGUGCAGGAUAUCUCUUCCAGCAAGACAAACAGUAUGAUGUAUCCUAUGACACAGGAGAUAAGGCAAUACAGUGUGGUCGACAUGUGGACAUUUUCAAAUUCUGGUUGAUGUGGAAGGCAAAGGGUACAGUAGGAUUUGAAAAUCAGAUCAACAAAUGCCUGGAACUGGCAGAAUAUCUCUAUACUAAAAUCAAAAACAGAGAAGAAUUUGAAAUGGUUUUUGAAGGAGAGCCAGAGCAUACAAACAUAUGUUUCUGGUAUAUUCCACCAAGUCUCAGGGGCAUGCCAGACUGCGAUGAGAGACGAGAAAAGUUACACAGGGUGGCACCGAAAAUCAAAGCACUGAUGAUGGAGUCAGGUACUACCAUGGUUGGAUAUCAGCCACAGGGUGAUAAAGUCAACUUCUUCCGAAUGGUCAUCUCAAACCCAGCAGCGACGAAGUCUGACAUAGACUUCCUCAUUGAGGAAAUAGAGAGACUGGGGCAGGAGCUGUAGUGCAAUGGUUGAGUUAUUUAUUUCUCUAAUUCACUGUUUUCCAGUACUGGCUAUUUUUUUAACCCAGUUCUGCAGAACAUGUUUUAAGGAAAUUCCAUUUCUGUAAGCUCCAAUCUCCUAAGACAUCGUUAAACAGCAACAACAAGGUAUAGGCUACUAAAACAUACGUGUAUUGGUAGAUCAUUUUACUGAGGGAAAAUGUAUUAUCUUGAAGUUGAAGUACUGUUGACUCUCACAUUGGUCUUGUUAAUUGUAGUCAGCAGUAAAUUAGUAAGUACUAAAAUAGAAGAUUAAGAACUCUGCACAGUACAUAUGUACAGUAUAAAUAUAUAUAUAAUUAUAUAUAUACAUAUAUAUAUAUAUAUAUAUAUAUAUAUAAAGUGGUUAUAAACUUAGACCUAAGCCACAGCAUGUUUUCCACUUUAAGAGAAUUAAGUUUUCCUUCAACAACUAAUGACGUGGAUAAUGUGCUACAGAUUUUUAGCCAGGUAAAAAUAGACAUAUAGAAACAUUUCUAAAAUGUAGAUUCUUAGGAGCUAAAGAAAACGUAUAACAGUAUUAAAUCUUAUUGUUGGUGCUUCUCUUACAUACAAAACAGCAAUCUCUAACAGCACCUUUGAGUAAAAUAGUUGUAUUUCCCCUUUAGUGUCACAUCAGGGGAUAAUAGUAGCAGAGUCAUUGUAACAGGUAUAUUAUUGCUGUAUUUUUAGAGGUUAAUUUGUGUAGAUUGUGUAUAUUAUUGUUAAUUGACUUUGUGUAAAAGGAUUUAAAUGUAAUAGUUUUACAGCAAGAUAACUGUUGAAUUGUAGGUAUAUGAAAUAUUUGCUUAUUUAUAUGCAGAGAUUUACCAUGCUGAAGAGUUGUCUUGUAUUUUCUUCCAUUUGUAAUGUAUCCUAUUUAUAUAUUAUUGAAGUUCUAAAUAAUGUUUAUGGUAUUUUAGUGUAUUUGUGAGCCAAAGAAAAAAUACAAAAAUAUUAGUUGACACUUUCAUUUAAAUCCUAGUGCCCUUAAAAUAAUAAUUUACAGAUAAUUUUACUGAUUAGAAAGAAUUCUAACAUUGUAUAUAGAUUGUCAAAUAAUGAAAUCCCCUUAAUCUAUUAGAAUUUUCAUUUUUAUUUAUUGUAAUGUCAGAAUGUCUGUUCAGUGUUCUGAAUGCUUUUCUAGUGAAUAUGGGUUGCUAACCAAGGCCCCUGGUCUUGAGCUGUAUUUCAGGACCGAUCUGUAUGACCAUUCUAACUAAAUUCUUUGGGAAGAUUCCUGAAGGUCUAUAGCAUAUAUAUGGGAGUCUUAACCAGCACCGUUCUUUUAGUGAAAUUAAAUUCACUAUAUGGUUGGAGCACAUAAAAUAAAUAGAAACAAAAUUCAUCUUAGAAUUUUUAAAUACAGCUGGCUUGUUGCAACAAUUUAAGAGUAUAGACACCAGAGUCGCCUGCAGCUUGUUCAGUUUUAAUCAUUAGAUAAUCAAUACUGCAAAGUGGAAAACUCCAUACUGGAAGCAGAAUAGUGGAACAAAAUGAAAAUUCAAUAGUUCUAUGUCUACAGAAUUACUGUCAUGGUGAUAAAUGGAAUAUGCUGAUUUCAAACCUCUUCAUACAUGAUUCUAUGUCUGUUACCCAUGCAAGUCAAUAAUUAGUUGGGUUUUCUUUUUCUUUUUUUUUUCUUCUCCAAAUCAGUAAUAAAAUCUAAUUAUUUUAGAAAUACUCAGUGAAAUGCAGUCACACUAUGCCGUAUUCACAGCUUCUCUGACCCUCUUCAGUUCUGUGGAAGGACAGACAGCUACAGACAGCAGAUACUUCCAUCCUGCAGGGUCCCACAGGUUGUCUUCUGAGGAUGCUGUCUCAUAUCUUCGGCUGGGUCAGAACAGGUAGAAAGAAGAAUCUGUGAAAUAAUAAAUGUCACGUCAUAUAGCACAGCCUUUCCAACUUUUUGUAGGACUAUUGUUCAUCCCUUUUCCAUAACAUUCUGCAAAACCUUUUCUUGAUAUCAUCCAAGUUAAAUCUAAAAUGAUUAUAAAUUUGUCACUGUCUUCUAAGUUUAUGGUUAUGACUUUCAAAAGAUUAUAUACAUCAUUAUGUUUAAGCCUUGAAACCCCUACUAAUCCCAGCAGUACAGUAUUUCUUUAGUAGGUUCUUUUCAUGAAGAUAGUGCAGUUGUAUCUUGCUUUUUUAAUCUUAAACCAUAACCUUCCUUAAUUAUAAGGCUGAUAUCUUACCGUGCCUUUACUAGUUAACUCUUUUGAUGUAAACUGCUAUGCUGUAAGACCUGAGGCCUGCCCCACAGAAGCAGUGUGAAUAUUGACUUCAGUACCAACUUCCACAAUGUUAAUUGUUAUUCUUUAUAGAUAUAAGCUAUUCAUCAAAACCUGAGGGCCUCUCACUUAAGCUGUUUUUUAGGAUUAUAGAAUGAAGUUUGUUUUGAAGGGAGAGCAUUGUCACAUUUCAGUUCAAAGGCUUCUGCCUGAAAUCUGGUCUCCGUCACAAUUUUACUUUAUUCAAAGUCCAGCUACAGAAGGUUGAGUCCUUAGUUCUUCUGGUUUAUGAGAAACAAUAUGAACUAGGAUAAGCAAUGCAAAUGCAUUUAACUACUGACCUUACUUCACUAGGGUAUUUUGCAUCUUCCACACCAGCAGCACCAUAGUCAUUGUGAUUUCUUCUACCAGUUCCUAGGUGAGAAUUUCUAACUUCCUGCACCUCCUUUGUCAGGUUAUUUCAUCAACAGUAUUACAAAACUGGAAGAUCACAAUUUACCCUUAAUCCUCUAACCUUAACAUUUUAACCUCAUGGAUCUUGUAUCCAGAUCAUCAUCUUGAUAUGGUAGUAACAAUCUAUGGUAUUUGAAAUUGUAUAUCCCCUAGAAGCAUAUAAACUACGUAAAAAGAAUUAUCUGAUAUAACUGACUGCAAAACUGUAGGAAAUACUGUAAUAUGGUUUACUGGCAUUCAUACAGCAAGGCUUGGACAGUCUGUUGAUCUAGUCAGAAAUAGAUCUAGAUCUCCUCAGCAUGUAUAUCGUGUUUUACUCACUAGAAUUUCAGCUUCCUUAUUUAGUGGAGUAUCUUGCUUUUUGGAGGUAAGAAGCAUCAGUGGUUUUAGCUGUUGCCAUUGAUGGUUUUUAUACAGAGAGAAAUAAUAGAGCUCCUCCUGCUUGCCUGAGAAAUGAGAAAGUUAUCACAGAGGUACUUUCUCUAAAGAUUGGAGCUUUAAAUCCAUCUUCCUACACUCUGAAUUUUAUCUUGCCUUUCUGCAGUGUUGUCUUGACACAGGUGAUACCUACAGGUUGUUUUUAGUUUAGUUUUGUGGUUGUUUUUUUUUGUUUGUUUGUUUAUUUGUUUGUUUUUGGUGUGUGUGAAGCUUUUAAUUCUAAUAUCAGCUCCAGAGUGCUUCCCUAUUACAUGUACUGGCUUCCAUAUGGACAGGGCUCAUAUUAGUUUCUGACCUGGUUAGCUGAUUUUAACAGAGCAAUUAUGGUCAUCAGUAAGAAAACUCAUCUGUGUUUUCUUAUGAGGUAAUUUUCAUCUUGGUAAUAUGUUACAGCUUCUCAAACAAAAGCUUUCCUGGAAUAUUCCUGUUUUUUAAUCCAUACGCUAUUAACCAUGAGAGAUCAGGAAGUAUGGAUAUACAGAAGUGUUGACUAAUUCAAAGCAUUACAAUUCCAGGUGAGUAACUUUGCUUUUCUGAGGUUUAAAAUAUAGCAAUUUUGUCUUUAAAAUCACACUGACAAUCACUGUAAUUUGGCUGGGUGAAUUCAGAUCAAAUAAAUAAUAGGCAAGGUUUUAGCUGAACAUGUAGCUGCAGAGCUUAUUAACUGAAGCAAUUUUUAUAGAAAAGGCUGAUCAUUAGAUGAAAAUCAACAGCAGCUGUUGAUUUUGAAUGAGAAGAAUUCUGGUUGUAUUACUAAAGGUACUUUUCUGGAGAAGAUAGAUUAUACCAUUCAUUGCAGACAGAAAGAACCAGGGACCUUGAGAGUAGCCCAGGAUUUUAAAAUAAUUGAACGAUGAUUCAUAAUCUGUUUUUUGAAUGGUGACAAAUAUGAAGAGAUUUUUUAAACAGAAUCUCUGUUUUGUGGUUAAAGAAAUGUCGAAGUUAUAAAGAAGAUAUGCAAUGCAGUUUUAAUUUUUCAAUAAAAGUUGAUCUUAAAACUGUCUUAUUUGUCUCAUAUAAUUUUUGUGAGCUCUUUUGUUUCCUUAAGAAUAUGAGACAAAAGCCAUACAAUAUCCUUCACAUCAAAAAAAAAAAAAAAAAAGGCAAAUUCUAAGGCCACUGUUUAGUUUUAAUUGUGAAUUUAAUGUCAUCUUGUACCAACACAGACUGAGGAAGAACUCCAAGCUCUGAACACUGAUCUUUGAAGAGGGUAGUUAAGAUAUUAGUAAUCUGUAAAAAUGCUUAAAAAAAAAAUCUGUCUGUAUGGUGUUUUGUGUGGUUUCUGAAAUUCUCAUCCAACUUACUCAUACAGAGGAUCCAGGAAAGUGAAAAAAGAAGUUUGGAAUGGGUUAAAAAAAUGAGAUGAAACUGUUCUGGUAAAAAUUAUGCUCUUUAAUCUGUGAAUAUAUUUAUAAAAUUUAUAUUCUUGUAAUGCAGGUCUUACUUUCAGGAAGACAUGAAUACACAGUUAAUUUUGCUUUACCAUGCCACUGUUUGAUCUCGGUGUUUAUUUACUAAGCAUAUUUAAAUCUGCACACAAUCAGAACUAUGAUGUUUUUAUGCACUUUUCUGUACAAGGACUUUUCUGUACAAAAUAACAACAACAAAAAAAAAGAAUGGGACUAGGAUUAAAAGUGUUUUGAAAGGUAUUAUGUUUCAGCAGUUAAGUGCUUGUCUGACAAGAAAGAUACGGGGAUGCUCCCACAAGAGGAGCCCCCACAGCGCCCCAUGGCGACAACCCUGUGAAAUCAGUGCUAUGGGAUACUGAGUGAGUGAUUGCUAGUGUUGAAAUUUUGCAUAGCAGAAAAUCUGUGAUUAUUCUUAUCAUAGUUAGUCAGGCAGUGCAAUUAGAACUGUCUUUCUUUGGAUGAGGGUUCAGCCACUUUUGUGGUAAGCAUUAUAAUGUGCAGUCUUUUACAGUAGAAAUGUUUCCUUGAAAUACAAGGAUUGGCAACUUUAGAUUUGUGAGUCAAGUAAAUAUGUUAUGUAAGAAUAAUUUUGGAAAGGUGUACAAGGGAAGCCUAAUCUUACUAUCACAGAACUCCACAGAAGAACUGUUGCUGAUUGCAUGAAUCAAUCUUACCCAUUCCUGGAAUUGAAAGACCAUUUCAACAGAAUGGGACCCUAUGUUUGAGUGUUUUAUAAUUUGCAGAUUGCGACAGUUAUGCUUAGGGUGAUGACAGAUGAAUCUGGAGUACUUCAUCAAGAACUGGAACUAAGCUAGUGAAGAGGAAAUGAGAAGAUGAAGUGUCAACAGAAAGCAAAGUCUAAAAGGAUGGCUGCUCAACAUGGAAGGAUUGGGGUUUCAUUGGAGCAUUUGGGAGAAUUGGACUUCUAAACAAAGCAGAAUUAAAUUUAUGAUUAGAAUAAAAGAUAAGCUGAAAUUUUUAAGUAGACCGGUAAAGAAAGAUACACUUUCUGGUUCUCUGUUUUAAUAGAUUUAUCUACCAAGGAAAAGUGGAACGUCAUUUAGUAAUGUUGAUAUUAGAAAAAUUAGAAGAUAAGAUAUUGCAUAACUUGAUUUAUUUCUGCUGUUUAUUAGGUAAUCUGUUCAGCAUCUGACUAUAAUUCUUUUAGGUUGGAUAAGUAUACUUUAUAUGUGUAUUUGUGAGUGUAUUUAUAUUCCUUGAUAUAGGACACGUGCAUGUACAUAGUAUGUAUCAGAAAAAAAAAAAGUAUUGCAUGAUGUUGACCAUUUUGUGGAACAUCUGCAAAGAUUCUUUAAGUAUAACAUUAAACUAGUAUAUCAUGAAGGAAGUAGUAAAUUUUCUUCCCUUACCUUUGAAAAUGUGUGUGUGUAUGUUUAUGUGUAUAAGAAUGAUUAAAUCUCUGUCAUGAAUUUCUUAAAUUAUAUGCUUUUUAACAAGAUACUGUUCCUAGUUAAUCUGAGAACUGUUUGUUUGAUCCAGGAAUUACUGUGUGAAAAAUUUUGGCUUUUUUCUAUAUAGAAAGCAGUUGUCCCACGGCAAUGUGAGAGAAAAUAUGUAACAGUAUUACAGGUGAUAGGAAGUGGAGAAAAACUAAGUUGAAUGUUUCAAGAAAGCCUAGAAAUGGACAGUAAAAGCAAAAUCAACAAAU